AGGAGUUAUUUCAGUCUUCUCGCCAUCUUUACUGUUAGGACCAACUUCUCUGUCAUUUCCAUCUGGAUCUGGAGAAUGAAGCUUUUUCAGGGCUUGAGAGCCUUGAUUAUAUGUUUUCAGUUCCAAAGAUGCAUCAGCUUCAAUACCAGCAAGACGCUUGGAAGUUCGGCAAGGAAGAAGUGAAGUUUUCAGAGGGAAGAUGCUAAGUGAGGGAGGGAAUUUGUAUUAAAAUUUGACAAAGAACGCACUGUAUUAUGAGUCUGAGCUGCGCCGCUAUUUUAACAAAGGAAACAGAGACCAGAAGUUGGUAGAGAUCUGAAAACAUCAACAAAUAUUUAGCAUGACAAAAGAAGAUAGAAAAAGGAAGUAAUGAAUUCCUAGAGUUUCCACUACAUACAAAAUGCCA